GGUAGUGUGGCCUAAUGGAAAGAGUACAGGUCUGGAAGUCAGGGGGCCUGGGUUCCAAUCCCAGCUCCACCA
rnacentral:tRNA from 1 species